CCCGGCCCAACGUGGCUGCUCGGUUAACGGCUGUGGAACCAACGCGUACCCCUGGAACCGGGUGCUGGCGAUGACAGCAGCCGCCGGUCCACAGGGCAUACUUUGGAUUUUGACCUUCCAGCGGUUUUAAGCCGCGCGGUUCCGGGGGCAGCGCGCACCGCGCCGGCCCUUCGCUCACCGAGGAGGGGGAGGCCACGGGGCACCUUCGGGUGAGCUGGGCCUGGGACCCGCCCCUUCGCCGCCCGGGUUCGGUGCGGGGGGCCUCAAGGUCCUCCGAGGCCCCGGACGCUGCCGUGGGUGCUCCUCCUCCAACGCAUCCCACCCCUUUUCUCACCUGAGACCUGUGUCCGCGACCAAGGCCAUGGCUCCCUGCGCACCCUGGACCCCCAUCCCUUCUCAGGGAUUAUCACUUCUGAAUUCUGACUCCCAGAUGCUCGCCCUCUCCCUCCUUGACCCUUCCCAGCGGUUUCCAACCUGCCCCAAUGCAUCCCUUCUUUAAAAAGAAAGAAAACCCUGCCACCGUGUCUGCC